rnacentral:rRNA from 1 species
AGCGCAGGCGGGAAGACAAGUUGGAAGUGAAAUCUAUGGGCUCAACCCAUAAACUGCUUUCAAAACUGUUUUUCUUGAGUAGUGCAGAGGUAGGCGGAAUUCCCGGUGUAGCGGUGGAAUGCGUAGAUAUCGGGAGGAAUACCAGUGGCGAAGGCGGCCUACUGGGCACCAACUGACGCUGAGGCUCGAAAGUGUGGGUAGCAAACA